ensembl:lncRNA
AAAAUAUUCAAAACUUAUCAUAGAUUUAAACUUUGGACGAAUGAAUUUAGGAAUAAUUUAUUUGAUUACCUUGACAGAAAUAAGCUUGGUUUUGAUUAUUGUUGUUUUUGUUUUAAUCUUUUUUAAGUGUUGUGUUUAUUUUUAUGUAUUACACCAGUCAAUAGGAGCUAUAUUUGUGAAAUGGUAAACUGUGUUUAGGACUUCACCCUCCACCAGUGCUCCACCUCACAGCUUCCAAAAGAAUGAAAAGCCUACAGACAAAAAGAUGUUGUGCUCCAAUUCAGAUACAUGUUCUAUCUUUGACAAAAAAUCUAAUAUUUCUCAACAGAUUAAUUUUAGAAAAACCUCCAAAUAUGUCAUCUCUGCCUGUUUUUCUAAUAUUUUCUUCUUAUUAUCCUCCUCUUGAGUGUAAUGAUGGGGACAAAUAGGGUCUUAAUCUUUUACUUCUGUAUUUUAGCACGUUCCUUUAGGUUUGUAUCUUUACUAUGACAGAGAGCUGUUUGUAAUGGAAUAUCCAAAAACUGCAUGGGGCAUUUGAGCCACUGUGAUCAGGUUGAGGCAGAUGAAUUCAACCUCAAGUGUCAUAAACACCAGGAAACUGGGAGACUGUCACCGAUAUGCUUCUUCCCAGUCAGAACUAUCUUGAUGGGCGGAGAGAGACAUGGUGUUGAUUACAAUUUGAACCUUGACCUUGAAUAUUUAUAAAAGAUCUAGAAGGAUCUGUUUAAAGAAAUUCUUCCCUGUUUACCAUACAUUUCCCUGUCCUUCCUGCUUCCUGUUAUUUGCAUGCAGAUGAUAUCUGUGCGCCAGUGACUUAGAGAGAGAUAUCAAGAAAAACAGUGCUGCUUGGAACCAAGCAAAGCAUAAUUAAAAUGAAUUUUGCCAGAAGUUCUGUAAGAAAAUAUUCUUGUAAUACCUAUGAAUGCUUUCCUUUAGCUUCUCAGAAGCUGGAGCAGAAAGCUCUGAAGGAGACUGGACUCCAAGUGACAUAACCACAUACGCUUGCAACAAAAGAAAGCUAAGUGUUUCCUUUAAGGAUUCAAGUUUACUUAAAAUAAUCCAAAAUGUCUGUUGACUGAUAUUUAAAAAACCCAGAAAGGUAUACCUUGGGAACGUUUUGAGAAGAGAACCUCGCCUCCCCUCCCCCCCCCCAUAACUUUUUAAUACAUUAACCUCAGUCCCUUAAUUGCCUCUGAUUCACUCUCUUUCCUCUGUGAAUGCACUUAAAUAUAAUGAAGUGUAUCACUGAGAAAAGGAAGAGCAGAAAAAUAUCCCAAGGUGACCCAAUACAAACAGCCACAUUAAUUCUCUAAACACAAUUUGCAAGCAUGUCAUAGGCCAAAUGUUAAUGACAUAAGAUCUCCAAAUAAUUAUAGGCUGCAAUCAGAUUCAUAAAAAUAAAAGUAUGUUUGUGAACAAUUCAUUUUCUUAAUUCUUUGCUUUACACAGCCUAUAUGUGGGACAAAUGUCAGUAGGAAAUGUAUAGCUGUUGUUACUUAGGAGCAGAUGAACGCUUUCAGUAGUAAUGAGAAGACCUUGAGUGGUGGUGAACAUGAGAAAAUAGUGUGCCUAAAUUAACCAUGAGAAUAUUUUUUUCAUAAAUUU